rnacentral:rRNA from 1 species
GACGAACGCUGGCGGCGUGCUUAACACAUGCAAGUCGAACGGAAAGGCCCUGCUUUUGUGGGGUGCUCGAGUGGCGAACGGGUGAGUAACACGUGAGUAACCUGCCCUUGACUUUGGGAUAACUUCAGGAAACUGGGGCUAAUACCGGAUAGGAGCUCCUGCUGCAUGGUGGGGGUUGGAAAGUUUCGGCGGUUGGGGAUGGACUCGCGGCUUAUCAGCUUGUUGGUGGGGUAGUGGCUUACCAAGGCUUUGACGGGUAGCCGGCCUGGGAGGGUGACCGGCCACAAUGGGACUGAGAGACGGCCCAGACUCCUACGGGAGGCAGCAGUGGGGAAUAUUGCACAAUGGGCGGAAGCCUGAUGCAGCAACGCCGCGUGCGGGAUGACGGCCUUCGGGUUGUAAACCGCUGUCGCCUGUGACGAAGCGUGAGUGACGGUAAUGGGUAAAGAAGCACCGGCUAACUACGUG